AACAAGAGACGAACAGUUAGUGCUGAUUUUCAUUUGCAUAAAUUUUCAUAUAUUUUAGUGAAAAUAAUAGCGGGAGCCGAGGAGUGCUCCUGCUCAGUUGAGGCAGAGGAAAGAAAAUCUUAGGGAGCACCGAGUCGUAGGAAAGGGAGAUAACCGUUUACAGGCUCCGUGUGAACAAUGUGAAGCUAUUUCCCUUUUUCUUGGACACAAGCAGAGCCACAGUCCCCUGGCAACACACACACACACACACACACACACACACACACACACACACACACAAAACUUUGGUCUUCCUACAGUAUGACACUCCUCCUUGUCCCCCAUCCUCCCCCUGGUGCACAACCUCUGGAGAGCAUUUCAGGACUGUCGAACACCAAACACCGGAUAAAGUAAAAGCUUGUGUAGCAGAUGUUGCAAAACUAUUUGACGAAGUACAUGUCAUCGCUGUCCCGUGAAAACCAUGUGUCCCAAUGUGGUGAUUUUGAAUUGUUCAGAUAGCAGAUAGUUUAGUUGAGGUGUCCUAAAAAGUUCAUUUAUGGAGAGAAUUCAUCGACUUUUGAACCGUACUUUGGUCACAAAGAUAGGUGUUUUGCAGAGGACAGAGACAAUGCAUUUUCUUGACAUUGUAAGAAAAAUAAAAGGAAAUAAAUGUCACUGAUCUGACUGCAGAACACCAAUAAUGUAUGUUUAUGGCUGUCUGAUUAAUCAAUAUAUAAUAAUAAAAACAGAACAACAGAAGAA